GCGGGAUUAGCAUAGUGGUAGUGCACCUCGUUGCCAACGAGGACGGACGGGUCCGAUUCCCGUAUCCCGCU
rnacentral:tRNA from 1 species